GACGAACGCUGGCGGCGUGCCUAAUACAUGCAAGUCGAACGAAACUUUCUUACACCGAAUGCUUGCAUUCACCGUAAGAAGUUGAGUGGCGGACGGGUGAGUAACACGUGGGUAACCUGCCUAAAAGAAGGGGAUAACACUUGGAAACAGGUGCUAAUACCGUAUAUCUCUAAGGAUCGCAUGAUCCUUAGAUGAAAGAUGGUUCUGCUAUCGCUUUUAGAUGGACACGCGGCGUAUUAACUUGUUGGUGGGGUAACGGCCCACCAAGGUGAUGAUACGUAGCCGAACUGAGAGGUUGAUCGGCCACAUUGGGACUGAGACACGGCCCAAACUCCUACGGGAGGCAGCAGUAGGGAAUCUUCCACAAUGGACGCAAGUCUGAUGGAGCAACGCCGCGUGAGUGAAGAAGGUCUUCGGAUCGUAAAACUCUGUUGUUAGAGAAGAACACGAGUGAGAGUAACUGUUCAUUCGAUGACGGUAUCUAACCAGCAAGUCACGGCUAACUACGUGCCAGCCGCCGCCGUAA
rnacentral:rRNA from 1 species